AACGAACGCUGGCGGCAUGCCUAAUACAUGCAAGUCGAACGAUCACUUCGGUGGUAGUGGCGCACGGGUGCGUAACGCGUGGGAAUCUACCCUUGGGUUCGGAAUAACAGUUAGAAAUGACUGCUAAUACCGGAUGAUGACGAAAGUCCAAAGAUUUAUCGCCCAAGGAUGAGCCCGCGUAGGAUUAGCUAGUUGGUGAGGUAAAAGCUCACCAAGGCGACGAUCCUUAGCUGGUCUGAGAAGAUGAUCAGCCAAACUGGGACGGGGACACGGCCCAGCAUCCUACGGGAGGCAGCCGGAGGGAAUAAUGGACAAUGGGGGCAACCCUGAUACAGCAAUGCCGCGUGAGUGAUGAAGGCCUUAGGGUUGUAAAGCUCUUUUACCCGAGAUGAUAAUGACAGUAUCGGGAGAAUAAGCUCCGGCUAACUCCGUGCCAGCCGCCGCAGUAA
rnacentral:rRNA from 1 species